UAAAAGAAGUACACUACAUAUGACGCUGGCUUUACUCUUCUGCGAAUUCCCACAACGAACCCUUCAAUAAAGCCAAAGCAUUAUUCUAUUCGCUGUUAUCCUUCUCGAAUCUCGGCUACUCCUCGGCCUCCUUCGUUUUGGACCGGCCAGAAAACCUGGAUAAUCCACUGUUUCUGUUUCUCUUUUUGCUCACGCUAUUGGUUGCUUCGUAUUGACACCUACCAAUCCAAGCUUUUCUGCACGGAUUUCAAUUCAAUUCAUAUUACAUACCCUAGUUCUAGACUUCUAGUUCAUCAGAGAAGAGCAGGCAAGAUAGUGAGAUACUAUUUAUUUUUAGAAAAGAAUUGAUAUCAAAAGUGAGUGUGAAAUGCUCGUUGAGCUCCUCGAGAGGAAGAAACUAAUUGGAGAGGGUGAGAGACAUAAGCAGAAAUGGUGGUUCGAAAAGUUGGGAAAUACGAGAUCGGCAGGACGAUCGGCGAAGGAACCUUCGCAAAAGUUAAGUUCGCUCAGAACACUGAAACUGGUGAGAGUGUCGCCAUGAAAGUUCUCGAUCGCAACACUAUCAUCAAGCACAAGAUGAUCGACCAGAUUAAGAGGGAGAUAUCCAUCAUGAAGCUAGUCAGACAUCCAUAUGUUGUUCGUCUACAUGAGGUGCUGGCAAGCCGUACAAAGAUAUACAUAAUAUUGGAGUUCAUUACAGGAGGGGAAUUGUUUGAUAAAAUAGUUCACCAAGGGCGGCUAAGUGAAACUGAGUCAAGGAGAUACUUCCAGCAGCUCAUUGAUGGUGUGGAUUAUUGCCACAGUAAGGGUGUCUACCACAGAGAUUUGAAGCCUGAAAAUCUUCUAUUGGAUUCUCAAGGAAAUCUGAAAAUUUCAGAUUUUGGUCUCAGUGCUUUGCCUGCACAGGGAGUUAGCCUCCUCCAUACUACUUGUGGAACCCCUAACUAUGUUGCACCAGAGGUACUUAGCCAUAAGGGCUACAAUGGUGCUGUAGCAGAUGUCUGGUCCUGUGGAGUUAUCCUUUAUGUUUUACUGGCAGGAUAUCUCCCAUUUGAUGAGGUCGAUCUCACCACACUGUACAGUAAGAUUGAGAAAGCAGAGUUUUCCUGCCCAUCUUGGUUUCCAGUAGGAGCGAAAUCCUUAAUUCAUAGAAUUUUGGAUCCAAACCCUGAAACUCGUAUUUGCAUUGAAGAGAUUAGGCGUGAUGAGUGGUUCAGAAAGGGCUAUGUUCCUGUUAGGCUUGUUGAGUAUGAGGAUGUUAACCUGGAUGAUGUAUAUGCUGUUUUUGAUGAUCCUGAGGAACAUCGGGUUAAUGAGCAACCUGGGAAUGAUGAUAUCGGUCCUCUUAUUCUAAAUGCAUUUGACUUAAUAAUUCUCUCUCAAGGGCUGAAUCUUUCAGCACUGUUCAACCGUGGACAGGAUUCUGCAAAGCAUCAGACUCGCUUUAUUUCAAAAAAACCAGCAAAAGUUGUUCUGUCAAGUAUGGAAGUUGUUGCACAAUCCAUGGGCUUCAAGACCCAUAUUCGUAAUUACAAGAUGAGGGUGGAAGGGCUUUCCGCAAAUAAAACCACACAUAUCUCUGUUAUUUUGGAAGUAUUUGGAAUUGCUCCCUCGUUUUUCAUGGUGGACAUUCAGAAAGUAGCUGGAGAUGCAGUUGAAUUUCUUAAGUUCUACAAUAACUUUUGUAGCAAACUUGAGGAUAUCAUCUGGAAACCACCCAAUGAAACAAGCAAGUCGUGGAUCACCAAGAUGACAAAGCGUUGACUUUUGUUUCUUGUAAGCUCAUAUGAGAUUUAACUAUCUAAUUACAAAGAAACUUUCUAAUUCCCACCCUAGAAAAAAAUCGUGCUGAUUUUGGCCAUCUUUUGGCAUUGUAGUCACUUGAUGGUUGUGAGAUGCAGUAGAUAGUUUUUGUUUAUUGCGAGUCAAGGAUAUUAAUCGACUCUCCAAAUCGAUCAAAGUGAAAUUUAUGCAUGUUUAUACUUCAAAGGAAGAACAAUGAAGCUGCUCAUUUGCUCGUUUCCAAAGAUUUUGGAGAUCCUUUGUUACUAGAGAAUCAGCCUCCUUUAUAGCUGCUGGAUGCUCUACAGGAAUGCCUAAGCGUGUAGCUCAGUCGGAUUUUAUGUGAAGUGUGUUGGCCUUGUUUUGUUGUUUCUUUUCAAUUUGUAGGUUACUUGGUAGAUUGUGUGUUUGUGUAUUUAGUAGUGGGUAAUCUGGUUAUAUGUUAUGUAGUUUAAGACUUGAAGA